rnacentral:rRNA from 1 species
UAGGGAAUCUUCCACAAUGGACGCAAGUCUGAUGGAGCAACGCCGCGUGAGUGAAGAAGGUUUUCGGAUCGUAAAGCUCUGUUGUUGGUGAAGAAGGAUAGAGGCAGUAACUGGUCUUUAUUUGACGGUAAUCAACCAGAAGUUACGGCUAACUUACUGCCAGCAGCCGCGGUAAUACGUAGGUGGCAAGCGUUGUCCGGAUUUAUUGGGCGUAAAGCGAGCGCAGGCGGAAUGAUAAGUCUGAUGUGAAAGCCCACGGCUCAACCGUGGAACUGCAUCGGAAACUGUCAUUCUUGAGUGCAGAAGAGGAGAGUGGAAUUCCAUGUGUAGCGGUGGAAUGCGUAGAUAUAUGGAAGAACACCAGUGGCGAAGGCGGCUCUCUGGUCUGCAACUGACGCUGAGGCUCGAAAGCAUGGGUAGCGAACAGG